AAAUGUUCAUCUUCAUAUUUCCCUUGCUGCUAAACCUAAUGGCCAAAUCUGAUCAUCUUUUCUCUUGGUCAUCCAGCAAAUUGGUCAUCGGAAUAUCAGAUUAAAGAAAGAUCUUUGGUUCCAAGGGAAUAUACAUAGCUAGUAUGGAUUCGAAUUCACAAGCAGGCCGUAGAGUACAAAGCAAACACUAUUGGACAACAGAUGAGGAUAAGGCACUUAUUGAUGCCUUAGUGGAGCUAUCAACAAAUCCAAUGUGGCGGACGGAGAAUGGAUUUCGCAAUGGCUACGUCGUUUAAUUAGAAAGAAUGAUAAAAGAAAAACUUCCACAAAGCAUGAUAAAAGCUUCACCUAAUAUCGAGUCUAGGGUGAAGCUCUUAAGGAAACAGAUAACUGCAAUAAGUGAUAUCUUACAAAUUAGUGGGUUCGUUUGGAACUAUGAAAAGUGCACUAUUGAGUGUGAGAAAAGCGCAU